UACAGAGGUCCCAAGCGUUGUUCGGAUUCAUUGGGCGUAAAGGGUGCGUAGGCGGCGCGGUAAGUCGGGUGUGAAAUCUCGGAGCUUAACUCCGAAACUGCAUUCGAUACUGCCGUGCUUGAGGACUGGAGAGGAGACUGGAAUUUACGGUGUAGCAGUGAAAUGCGUAGAUAUCGUAAGGAAGGCCAGUGGCGAAGGCGAAUCUCUGGACAGUUACUGACACUGAGGCACGAAGGCCAGGGGAGCAAACGG
rnacentral:rRNA from 1 species